AGAGUUUGAUCCUGGCUCAGGACGAACGCUGGCGGCAUGCCUAAUACAUGCAAGUCGAACGCGACCAGCCGGUGCUUGCAUUGGCGAAGUCGAGUGGCGAACGGGUGAGUAACACGUGAGAAACCUACCCUGGAGUGGGGAAUAACUCGAAGAAAUUCGAGCUAAUACCGCAUACCUUCUUACCGUCGAAUGGUGGUUUGAAGAAAGAUUUAUCGCUCUGGGAGGGUCUCGCGGCCUAUCAGCUAGUUGGUGAGGUAACGGCUCACCAAGGCAUCGACGGGUAGCUGGUCUGAGAGGACGAUCAGCCACACUGGAACUGAGACACGGUCCAGACUCCUACGGGAGGCAGCAGUGGGGAAUAUUGCACAAUGGGCGAAAGCCUGAUGCAGCGACGCCGCGUGAGGGAUGACGGCCUUCGGGUUGUAAACCUCUUUCAGUAGGGACGAAGCGUAAGUGACGGUACCUAUAGAAGAAGCACCGGCCAACUACGUGCCAGCAGCCGCGGUAAUACGUAGGGUGCGAGCGUUGUCCGGAAUUACUGGGCGUAAAGAGCUCGUAGGUGGUUUGUCGCGUUGUUCGUGAAAACUCACAGCUUAACUGUGGGCGUGCGGGCGAUACGGGCAGACUAGAGUACUGCAGGGGAGACUGGAAUUCCUGGUGUAGCGGUGGAAUGCGCAGAUAUCAGGAGGAACACCGGUGGCGAAGGCGGGUCUCUGGGCAGUAACUGACGCUGAGGAGCGAAAGCGUGGGGAGCGAACAGGAUUAGAUACCCUGGUAGUCCACGCCGUAAACGGUGGGUACUAGGUGUGGGUUUCCUUCCUUGGGAUCCGUGCCGUAGCUAACGCAUUAAGUACCCCGCCUGGGGAGUACGGCCGCAAGGCUAAAACUCAAAGGAAUUGACGGGGGCCCGCACAAGCGGCGGAGCAUGUGGAUUAAUUCGAUGCAACGCGAAGAACCUUACCUGGGUUUGACAUGUACGGAAUUUGCCAGAGAUGGCUUAGUGCUCGAAAGAGAGCCGUAACACAGGUGCUGCAUGGCUGUCGUCAGCUCGUGUCGUGAGAUGUUGGGUUAAGUCCCGCAACGAGCGCAACCCUUGUCAUUAGUUGCUACAUUCAGUUGGGCACUCUAAUGAGACUGCCGGUGACAAACCGGAGGAAGGUGGGGAUGACGUCAAGUCCUCAUGGCCCUUAUAGGUGGGGCUACACACGUCAUACAAUGGCUGGUACAGAGGGUUGCCAACCCGCGAGGGGGAGCUAAUCCCAUAAAACCAGUCGUAGUCCGGAUCGCAGUCUGCAACUCGACUGCGUGAAGUCGGAAUCGCUAGUAAUCGCGGAUCAGCAUGUCGCGGUGAAUACGUUCCCGGGUCUUGUACACACCGCCCGUCACACCAUGGGAGUGGGUUUUACCAGAAGUAGUUAGCUUAACCGCAAGGAGGGCGAUUACCACGGUAGGGCUCAUGACUGGGGUGAAGUCGUAACAAGGUAACCGUA
rnacentral:rRNA from 1 species